UAAAGAGUUGCGUAGGCUGUCCGAUGCAUCUUACUUGAAAUGCUAUGGCUAAACCAUAGAAUUGGAUAAGAUAUGAUCGGACUUGAUGGUUGGAGAGGGUGCUGGAACCGAUGGUGUAGCAGUGAAAUGCGUUGAUAUCAUCGGGAACACCAAAGGCGUAGGCAGGCACCUAGUCAACCCAUGACGCUGAGGCACGAAAGCUGGGGGAGCGAAACAGAUUAGAGACCUGUGUAGUCCCAGCCGUAAACUAUCUCUGCUAGAUAGCCGCCGCAAGGUGGCUGUCGCAGCUAACGCGUUAAGCAGAGCGCCUGGGGAGUACGAACGCAAGUUUAAAACUCAAAGGAAUUGACGGGGACCCGCACAAGCAGUGGAGCGUGUUGUUCAAUUCGAUACAAAACGAAAAACCUCACCAGGGUUUGACAUGUAGCUGCAAAGCCUAGGAAACUAGGCCUUCUUCGAGAGUGCUACACAGAUGCUGCAUGGCUGUCGUCAGCUCGUGGCGUGAGCUGUUAUCUUAAGUGAUGAAACGAGCGCAACCCUCACCGUAUGUUAAAUAAUUCAUGCGGAACAGUCCCGAUUCGUCGGGAAGGAAGGCGAGGAUGACGUCAAGUCAGCACGGCUCUUACACCCUGGGCUACAAACACACUACAAUGGCGAAUAACAACGAGUUGCAAGCUAGUAAUAGCAAGCUAAUCUCUGAAAUUUCGCCUCAGUUCAGAUUGGGGUCUGCAACCCGACCCCAUGAAGUCGGAAUUGCUAGUAAUCGCG
rnacentral:rRNA from 1 species